UGAGCCUGUCUCUGGCUUGGCUCUUGCGGCGAGACCGCCCUGCUGUCAUGGCUCCUCCGCCCUUGUCGCUGCCGCUUUGCAUUCUGCCGCCGGGCUCCGGCUCUCCCCGCUUGGUGUGCUACUGCGAGCCGGAGAAUGGUGGAGACUGGGACCGCGACGAUUUCAACCUCUAUGUGACGGACGCCGCGGAGCUCUGGAGCACCUGCUUCUCGCCUGACAGCCUGGCGACGCUCGUGCGUAACUGCACUGGGGAUAGAAGACAUCUGGAAGCUUGCCACCUCCCACCCCUCCCCGUGGCAGUGGUUCUAAUAGCAUUUCCAAGGUUGGGCAGUUUGGAAUGUCCAGUGGGUCCAGGGUCCUGGGCACUUAGUGACAAUUACGUGUUUCCAACAGAAAGCCCGAUUUGGCCUAAGUGGGACUGAGGAUAUCCAUUCCCGGUUCAGGGCAGCCUGCCAACAGCAGGCAGUGACUGUAAGACUGCAAGAGGACAGAGCAUUGAUGACCCUUUCAGGGGAUACCUCUGCCCUGGCCUUUGACCUCUCCAAGGUGCCCAGCCCAGAGGCAGCCCCCAGGCUGCAGGCUUUGACUCUCAGCCUGGCAGAGCAUGUAUGCAACCUGGAGAGGCGGCUGGCAGCCACAGAAGAGACCGCCAUUAGCCCCAGGAAGAGCACCCAGCCAGCAGGCACUCAGUUCUUACCAGAACUUGAUCACCAGAGAGGCAGCUCUGGGUCUGGGGUCAGGAGACGGUGUCCAGGGGAGUCUCUCGUCAACCCUGGUUUCAAAAGUAAGAAACCAGCUGGUGGUGUAGACUUCGAUGAGACCUGAAGCUAGCAAAGCCUGUGUGACCUUGCCAGGAGUCUGUCUGCAAGGAAAGGGGACAUCUAGGACCCCUAACCAGAGACACCCUUUGCUUCACUUCCCCUGUGGUCCUGCUGAUGGGCAAAAGUACCUCUCAUCCCUUCCCCAUCAAAUAAACUGCUCCCUUGGGGAGAGAUGCUAGGCC
rnacentral:lncRNA from 1 species